AGCCGUGGGGGGUAACCUAUUAUCCCGUGCGAUCGGUAUAACUGGACCGCACGGGAUAAUAGAUAAUCCCGUGCGGUC
rnacentral:pre_miRNA from 11 species